rnacentral:misc_RNA from 1 species
UCCUCUUCCCGAAGUGAAGAGCAGCAACUCGUGGUCGCGUCUCUGUACCUUUUCUGCUGCUGCGGUGUUGGCACUGAGCAUCAGCUUUUUGUUUGCUUCUGAUUGUCACCGUGCAGACGGGGAGGCGCUUGGACGGCCCCUCACCGCCUUCCUCAUACUCCCGGCGCAGCGUAAUUUCGUUUGCUUGUCAGUGCGGCUUGGCUCUUAUUUUGCAUACCCUCUGCUUCCUGACCGUGAAACCGCGUACCGAACUACCGCUCCGUUAUUCACUUGGCCCUCUAUCAGACUCGCACCUUCCUUUUACUUCUUCCUCCUAGAGACCCUGGCUGCCGCCCGUGUCAACCGCAGCCUCACUCCUGCCCUUCCCGUGCCCUGGCUGCUCUCCUGUGGUGUGUGCCCUGUUCAAAUAGCUCCCGCGACGCUCAGUCCCCCUCCCCCUCACCUCACACACACAUCCAAGCACGCAUAUAUACCUUUCUGUUCUUCUCUCUCCCCGGCGUCUCGCCUCUGCAACGGACUACCACAUAUUCUUCCUCAACGCCGUGCGUGCGCCGCUGUUUUCCUUUUUUCCCUGUUGUUGUUUGUUUUUGUUUAUGCGUGUAUGAUCUGUGUCUUCUCUCUUUCUCUCUCUGUGGCGCCGCUCCUUCGCCGUUUUUCGUUUUGUUUUCGCCACGCCUUUUUCUAGUUGUUGCCGUUUUGCUUCCCAGCGAUCGGGUUUGUCGAGUCCCCUUCCCCUUCCCCUAGCCGUGCCUGCUGCCUGUGGUUCACUGCUGAUCGGUGCUCUUUCUUUCUCCUGCGUGUUUGUGUGCACGCCGCUGUGCGAGCACACGGGUUUUUGAAGUUUCAUCUGCCCACUACUACGCACACAGUUUUCUCUCUCUCGCCGUCGCGCGUCGUUUGGACUUGCACAGUCGUCUGCUCUCACGUGAGCGACAUAGAAACCUGCACCCUCUCCUUUCUUCUUUCCCCGCCAUCACAAGGCACUCAGAGGGGACUAAUUGGAGAGGACGCGCCACGUGUGCACCAGACAUCCCCUUCACGCUUUCGGUGACGUUCAUAGAUCGCAAAAGAAAACAGAGAAGAAAAAGGGCGACUGCCGGAGAGCAGAGGCCAGCUCAAUCCCGAGGCGGUGGCGUACGCUCAUAUUGGUCUCCGUGCGCCCACGCCUCCGCCAUUCAGAAACAACGCAAUAUCAAGACGGUAUCGACAAGACGCUGACCGUGGCGGCCAUUAUCGUUGCUGGUGAACCCACCCGCCCUCCCAGCCACCCACUCGCAGAAGCGCACAGGACACAACGCGCGCCUCUGCAUAGUUUCUCACCUGUUCUCCCCGCUCGCUUCCCUCGACCCCCCGAUCACAAACGCGCGCGCCAUGAGCACCGCCCUUGGAAUGGAGCCGGAGGUGGUGUCUUCAUCGGCCUCCUCCUCGUCUGAGCUGGAAGAGCCCACCGUUGACCCGCGCGACGUCGGCACCGAUGCGGGGAACCGCUCGCCAGAGCUGUCGCUGAACACGGCCACCGCCAGCGCGAGCGGCCUGGCCUGGCCAAACAACCUCAACGUCAACAAGAUCAGCGGCGUCCGAGCUGGCGCGACAGACAAGCUACAAGGUGGAACUUCUGCCCAUCGCGGUGUCAACGGCGCCACAGCUCGAUUCACGGACCCGAAGGACGAGAACGGCUUCACCGUUUUCAGUCGCCGCCCGACCGGCGCCGGUGCCGCCGCGACAGGACUGUCACAGCAGCAGACGAGCCCUACAUCCACCUUGGCGCCGAACGUCAGCAAUGGAAGCGGGGUCAGCAGCGGCCACGCAUUGCGCAGCUCGGCUAACGCAAGCGGCGCCACGGCCAACGAUGAGCGUCCAGGGGUGAUGGAGUUUGCCAAGAACCUCUCCGAGCGACACCUCAGGUGUGCUUUGUGCGCCAAGGUGGUGGUAGAUGUUGUGCUCAUCGGGGCGCAUGCGUCGGUAGCGUGCCGGCGUUGCGCUCUGGCCUUGCCAGGUACCCACAUCACAGAGUUGCCGCGGCCGCUGCGAGAGGUGCUGCGAGCGCUGAAGGCGGCAGCGGGACUGCCUGAGCCAAACGACGACUUUGUGGGCGAUCGCCGCAUUCUGCGCGCGAAGCGACCGUUUCCAGUGAGCGCCACGCAGCCCAACGGCACAGAGCCGACGGUAAAAGAGGAGACGGCGGCUGUCGCUUCGCCCGGCUCGCCGGCUCCGGCUGCUGCCACCUCCACAGCGGCGAUGCAAGCGGUCUUAGCGGAGCUGACGGAUGCCGAGAUGGCCGAGCGCCACCAGAUCGGUAGCGCGGAAGCCUCUAGCCGCGCGGAGAUCACGACGCGCAGAAGCGUUGCCAUCGCAGCGCGAGCCGCACCGGCGGCAGCUGCCGGGAAGCCUAACGGCGUCUCGAGCCGACAGUACAAGCUGGAGGCGGACCGCAAGUAUGAGAACGCGGAGUACGUCGCUGCGUUGGAGCUGUAUACCAAGGCAAUCAAGCUGCAGCCGAUGGAUCAUCAGUCGAACGUCAAGUUCCUCUACGGCAACCGUAGUGCUGCCCACUAUAUGGCGCAACGGUACAACGAGUGCAUUGAGGACUGCCUCGAGGUAGUGCGCCUGGACCCGGGCAGCGUGAAGAUGCUGUCGCGCGCCGCUCGCUCUGCCUGCACGAUGGGAAAUCUGAAGCGUGCCGUGGAGAUCAUGGAAAGCACGCCGAAGGAUCGCUUGACCAGCGACAUGGAGGCGGAGCUUGCCCGGUACAAGAGCGGCCUCGAGGCGUACCGCCACGCCGAGCGUUGCUUCGGCACUCCGGAAGGCGAUGAGCAGUACCGGAUGUUGGUUGCUCAGUUCAGCGAUACCGUGCCGUUUCGAGUUCGAAGUGCCGAGUCGCUGCGGGAGCAGCGCCACUACAUGCGCGCCGUGGAGGUGCUGGAGGCGCUCUCGUACUCCACGCGCACCCCGGCUGCGUGCCGCAUCAUGAGCGAGUGCCUCUACCUCUCCGGCUUCGAGUACUUUGAGCGGGCGCGGAAGUGCAUCGUGGACGCGGCGCAGCUGGACGACGCCUGCAACGAGCUUCUGAAGAAGAUUGAUGCCGUUGACGACGGUAAGCAGAAGGGCAACUCAAACUUCAACAAGAAGAACUACGGCCCGGCGGCCGAGUACUACACGGUCGCUAUUCAGGCCGCCGCUGACAACGAUCAGGUGCUGCGCGUGCUCUACUGCAACCGCGCCGCCGCGUAUAAGGAGUUGGGCCGCUACCGGGAGGGCGUCGAGGACUGCACCAAGACGCUGCAGAUCGACAAGGAGUUCUACAAGGCGUACGCGCGCCGCGCGCGCUGCCACGAACACCUCGGCGACCACUUUGCCGCCGUGCGGGACUUCAAGAAGGCGAUCGAGUACGACGGCACCGACCGCGAGCUGGCCCGGGAGCUGAGAGCGGCAGAGCAGAACCUGGCCAAGGAGGCGGAGAAGGAGAGGGACUUUUACUUUCAAUUAGGUGUCUCUCGCACCGCGACAGAGCGAGAGAUCAAGCUCAAGUACCGCGAGCUCUCGCUGCGGUGGCACCCGGACAAGUGCAUUGGCCUGGAUGAGGUCGAGCGCGAGCGGGCCGAGCACAAAUUCAAAAUUAUCAGUGAAGCGUACGCCACCUUGGUGGAUGCCGUGAAGAGGCGCGAGUACGACGCGAAGCAGGAUCGCGAGCGCUUCACGCGUGCUGGCGGGUUCAAUUUCUCCUCCACAUACAGCGGUGGCAGCGCAAACGACUACUACCGCGGUCGUCACCGCGCCGGCGGCAACGGCUUUUGGUAGUGUCACGCACGGAGUCGUCCGUAUGCGGGGACGGAAAGGCGCAGUAGCGCCUCUGCCACCGGCCUUCUUUCACCUCUUCGGACACCCUCUGCUCAUGGUGGGGUAAGAAAAACGAACAGAGCGUCUCGCACUCGUUCGCUAUGGCUGAUUCGUUUCUGCUCUUCCGUUUCUUCUUUUUUUUUGUUUUCGCACUGCGCUCUUGUUGAUUGCAUGGCCCACCUACUGCGUCCGCCUCUUGUCCAUUCUCCACCUCCCCUCCUUCCUCCUCCUCCGUGAUAUUUUUGGUCUCUCUCUCUCUCUGGCGAUGUUUGCGCUUCGUUUUGCCUUUCUAUGCUGCCUAAUGUAUGGGGCUAUGAGCCUCAUCUUGUUCUUUAUGUUGGCCGUCUUUACAUGCACGCCGUAUGUUAGACUAGGGUAGCGCGCGUGGGGGUGGCUGGAUUCCUCGGUUGAUUGGCUCGCUUGGUGCAGUUUCCGUGGGUCGUCGCGCAGGCUCGAGACGCCGCUUGCGCAUUCACAAGCAAAACUGACAUGCCGCUUGCUGGCGGCUUCUCCGCCACCCUCCCCCACGAUUUUUUUAUUUUGUUUCGUGUUGGCUUGCCUUCAAUCUUUGUGAGUUUCAUGUCUCCAUGCCCUCUUCUUUCCUUUUUCUGUGAUUAGAGAAGACUGCCCCUUUUGUUUUGUCCCGUUUCGCUCGCCUUUGUCGUGUUUUUCCUAUGGUUUGUAUUUUCGCUUGCUUUUCGACGGUGCCCCCUCCACCUUUUUUUUUCCUUCUCGCUUCCACUCGCCCGCAAGUAUGUUCGCACUCCCCCUCUUUUUUUUCUGUUUCUUUCUCGUGAUGUGCCCUGCGUCUGCUUGAGGCACUUGGGCAUGUUAGCGCUUGCCCCUCUGUGUGUGCAUGUGUAUGUGAAUGCGUGCAUGUGCGAGCAGGUGUUUGUGCCUCUGUUUCUGUGCGAGCCGGCGAGGUGUGAGCGUGGAUGUUUCGUUUUCUUUUUCUUUUGUGUGCUGGAUGUCUGGGCCUCUCUCCCAUGAUGCCGUUGCUCUGUGUGCUUGUGUGUGUGUGCUGCUCGUUGAGAGAGAGGGGAAGAGGGACAGAUGUCGAGAGUCCCUACUCUCUUAUUAUUAUUACUUUUUCGCUUCUAUGUACGUGAGUUUGCGCGUGUGUGCGUGUGUGUGUGCCUGUGGGCAGGCUUUUUGUUCUUGAUGUGAGUCUCAUCUAUUUUCUUGUUUUUUUGCUGUUGUGUUGUAGUUUCGCCCUAGCGUGUACCGGUGUAUCUCACGGAAUCGUCUGUGGUUCUUCCUUCUUCCCUCCUCACCCCUCCGAGCCUGUUUUCCUGAAGGGGAUGCCCUGCCGUCUUAUCGGCCGCUGUAUAUUCACUAUUGCCUCGAUCUUGUCCCCCCCCUCUUUCUCUUAUGCGCGCGCUCAGCAGCAAGAGUGAAUAUGUCGGGACAGGCAGGAGACAGUCGUGAUGGGCUGUGAGGUGAGUGUCGGCGGUGGCUCGUGUAGAUCGGAGAGCGAAGGAAAAACAAAGUGCAUACCGCAGCUGAAGAGAGUGCACGGCUUGCCGGUAUGCUCGACGGCCGAGAAGGGCAGCACGCGUGGGUGUGUCGUUGUGCAAACUCGCGUUGGCGGUGUGUGCGCUGCUCAGCACGGUAGGCAGCGCACAUCUAGUUUCAAGGACAUCAUGUUGGGCGAAUGCGCAUCGGGGAAGCGACGCACACAUUUUACUAGACGGAACGUCAGCCUCUGCGGAAAACCAAAA